rnacentral:snRNA from 1 species
GGAUGUGAGGGCGAUCUGGCUGCGACAUCUGUCACCCCAUUGAUCGCCAGGGUUGAUUCGGCUGAUCUGGCUGGCUAGGCGGGUGUCCCCCUCCUCCCUCACCGAUCCAUGUGCCAUGUGCGUCCCUCCCGAAGCUGCGCGCUAGGUCAAAGAGGACGACCUUCCCCCCCCAGGAGAGGACCAGUCUUCGGUCAAGGGUAUACGAGUAGCUGCGCUCCCCUGCUAAAACCUCCAAACAAGCUCUCAAGAAUGGCCCUGACUGGUUUGGCUCAGUGGAUAGAGCUUUGGCCUGUGGACUGAAGGGUCCUGGGUUCGAUUCCGGCUGGGGGCACAUGCCUGGGCUGUGGGCUCAAUCCCUGGUGUGGGGCAUAUGGG